rnacentral:rRNA from 1 species
UGGGGAUGACGUCAAGUCCUCAUGGCCCUUAUAGUGGGGCUACACACGUCAUACAAUGGCUGGUACAAAGGGUUGCCAACCCGCGAGGGGGAGCCAAUCCCAUAAAGCCAAGUCCGUAAGUCCGGAUCGCAGUCUGCAACUCGACUGCGUGAAGUCGGAAUCGCUAGUAAUCGCAGAUCAGCACGCUGCGGUGAAUACGUUCCCGGGCCUU